rnacentral:rRNA from 1 species
GAUGAACGCUGGCGGCGUGCCUAAUACAUGCAAGUCGAGCGAACGGACGAGAAGCUUGCUUUUCUGAUGUUAGCGGCGGACGGGUGAGUAACACGUGGAUAACCUACCUAUAAGACUGGGAUGACUUCGGGAAACCGGAGCUAAUACCGGAUAAUAUUUUGAACCGCAUGGUUCAAAAGUGAAAGACGGUCUUGCUGUCACUUAUAGAUGGAUCCGCGCUGCAUUAGCUAGUUGGUAAGGUAACGGCUUACCAAGGCAACGAUGCAUAGCCGACCUGAGAGGGUGAUCGGCCACACUGGAACUGAGAACCGGUCCCGACUCCUACGGGAGGCAGCAGUAGGGAAUCUUCCGCAAUGGGCGAAAGCCUGACGGAGCAACGCCGCGUGAGUGAUGAAGGUCUUCGGAUCGUAAAACUCUGUUAUUAGGGAAGAACAUAUGUGUAAGUAACUGUGCACAUCUUGACGGUACCUAAUCAGAAAGCCACGGCUAACUACGUG